rnacentral:rRNA from 1 species
UACGUAGGGAGCAAGCGUUGUCCGGAAUUACUGGGCGUAAAGGGCGCGUAGGUGGGCGCUUAAGUCAGGUGUGAAAACUCCGGGCUCAACCUGGAGACUGCACUUGAAACUGGGUGUCUUGAGGGCAGGAGAGGAAAGUGGAAUUCCUAGUGUAGCGGUGAAAUGCGUAGAUAUCACGCAGAACUCCGAUUGCGAAGGCAGCAUACCGGCGCCCAACUGACGCUGAAGCACGAAAGCGUGGGUAUCGAACAGG